rnacentral:rRNA from 1 species
AACGAACGCUGGCGGCAUGCCUAACACAUGCAAGUCGAACGAUUGCCUUCGGGUGAUAGUGGCGCACGGGUGCGUAACGCGUGGGAAUCUGCCCUUAGGUUCGGAAUAACAGCUGGAAACGGCUGCUAAUACCGGAUGAUAUCGCGAGAUCAAAGAUUUAUCGCCUGAGGAUGAGCCCGCGUUGGAUUAGGUAGUUGGUGGGGUAAAGGCCUACCAAGCCGACGAUCCAUAGCUGGUCUGAGAGGAUGAUCAGCCACACUGGGACUGAGACACGGCCCAGACUCCUACGGGAGGCAGCAGGGGGGAAUAUUGGACAAUGGGCGCAAGCCUGAUCCAGCAAUGCCGCGUGAGUGAUGAAGGCCCGAGGGUUGUAAAGCUCUUUUACCCGGGAAGAUAAUGACUGUACCGGGAGAAUAAGCCCCGGCUAACUCCGU